UUCCGGUUUUGUUUGACGCGAACUGAAAGUUACGAAUUCAAUCUUUAAAACGGUUAGAAGUGCAAUCAAACCGCAGAAAAAAAAAAUGUUGCGUGCGAAUAACUACCAAAACGCGAUUGCGUACCAGCACCCCAAGUACGCCGACAAGAUGCAAAAAGAAUGCAUGAGGGGGCGCAUCGAGUUCUGCUCCAGGUUCCUCACCGUGGGGGAAUGGCAUAAAUGUUAUCCGGAACCCAAGAACAUGGACCGUGCAUUGGAGAAACUUAUUUUGAAGGAGGUGCUAGCCUUAACACCUAAACUAAUGAAUAAGUAAGAAGAGAAGUUUAAGUUUUCAGAUUUCCCAAUGCCCCAUAUUAAAGGACCUUUAUAUUACAAACAAACAUCACAUGCUUGGAAUAAAUGGAGUUACAUUCAAUUUGAAUCGAUCCAAGGAUAUGGAGUUUGUCCCGUUUGGUUCUGAAUUUUAAGGGCUGCAGGAAAUCAUUAUCAUUAAAUGUUAUUAUUCGUUGAUUUAUCUGAUAUUGUUCUAUAUAAAGUUGUUCAAAUAUAAUAAUUUAUGUAUCUUUUA